rnacentral:rRNA from 1 species
AAUGCUUGGGAACAUGCCUUGAGGUGGGGGACAACCGUUGGAAACGACGGCUAAUACCGCAUAAUCUCUACGGACCAAAGGGGGCUUCGGCUCUCGCCUUUAGAUUGGCCCAAGUGGGAUUAGCUAGUUGGUGAGGUAAUGGCUCACCAAGGCGACGAUCCCUAGCUGGUUUGAGAGGAUGAUCAGCCACACUGGGACUGAGACACGGCCCAGACUCCUACGGGAGGCAGCAGUGGGGAAUAUUGCACAAUGGGCGCAAGCCUGAUGCAGCCAUGCCGCGUGUGUGAAGAAGGCCUUCGGGUUGUAAAGCACUUUCAGCAAGGAGGAAAGGGUGUAAGUUAAUACCUUACAUCUGUGACGUUACUUGCAGAAGAAGCACCGGCUAACUCCGUGCCAGCAGCCGCGGUAAUACGGAGGGUGCGAGCGUUAAUCGGAAUUACUGGGCGUAAAGCGUACGCAGGCGGUUUGUUAAGCGAGAUGUGAAAGCCCCGGGCUUAACCU